AUCAAUGUAAAACCUGAACAGAUAAGAGAAUGAUGUUCUUUACUGCUGCCUCGUCUAUAUACUGGUUACGACAGCAUGUGACAUGUCGCAGUAGAUUAGAGAAGAUGUGUGAUCUCCUUCUGUUUUUCUCUCUUUAAUAAAAAUGUACAUUAACCCUGUUGCAUAAGUUUACACACCUUUUCUAAUUGCUAAUGUGGCAGUGUUCAGAAUCGACCAAUCACGUUCAAACUUUUGUUAAAUACCAACUAGAAGAUACCUGCUGUCAAUUAAAGUGACUGAUGGACACCAAAUAAAGUACAGCUGUUCCUGUAGGAUUGUUCAUUUUAGUAACUGGAAAAGCCAUGGGGCUGCAAAGAGCUGACAAAGCAGGUACAGGAUCUCAUUGUUGAGAAAUAUCAAUUAGGAGAGGGUUACAAACAAAUUUCAAGACAGUGAAUAUACCAUGGAACACUGGAAAGACAAUUGUUACAUUUUAUACUUGUGGGUUCGGUGUUUUGUUUGUUCUUUCUCUGUCUCUCUCUUUGCUCCACUAUCUACCUUUUCAGAUCCCUACCAUUGGACAUCUCCUGUCAAUCUUCAUUAUCCUGUGUGACAUCACCCAUCGAUCCACCAAUCAACCAGAAACAGAAUCACGAUUAGAAUCAGAAACAGAAACAGAAGGAGAAAGAAGAAGUGUGCUAAAUUUGUUAGAGAGCUAUGUUGUUGUUCAUUUGUUUUUAGUAUGUCAGACUGUUCAUGUAUCCCAUCUUGUUAGUCACUUUGUGUAUGUGACUUGUUUUUCAUUUUGUGUAUGUGACUUGUUUUUCAUUUUGUGUAUGUGACUCGUUAGUCACUUUGUGUAUGUGACUCGUUAGUCACUUUGUGUAUGUGACUCGUUAGUCACUUUGUGUAUGUGACUCGUUAGUCACUUUGUAUGUGACUUGUUAAUCACUCGUUCUGCAUCUGUAUGCUUGUGUUUAUUCUCUUUGUGGAUGUGAAUUUGUUUAUAUUGGGGAAAACUAGACAGAUAUCCUGAAUGUUAUCACCUUUGUCAGCACCACUUGUAUGAUAAUAGAGACAGAUUUUGCCCACUA